GAUGAAGAACGUAGCGAAAUGCGAUACUUGGUGUGAAUUGCAGAAUCCCGUGAACCAUCGAGUCUUUGAACGCAAGUUGCGCCCGAAGCCAUUAGGCCGAGGGCACGCCUGCCUGGGCGUCACACGUCGUUGCCCCCCCAUCUACUCCUUCGGGAUUGCGGGGGGCGGAUGAUGGUCUCCCGUGCGCCUCGUCGCGCGGUUGGCAUAAAUGCCAAGUCCUCGGCGACGCACGCCACGACAAUCGGUGGUUGCGAAACCUCGGUUGCCCGUCGUGUGCGGUCGUCGCGCAUCGAGGGCUCGAAAAAAUUGUCGGGCUCCGGCUCGGCUUUCAACGCGACCCCAGGUCAGGCGGGGUUACCCGCUGAAUUUAAGCAUAUCAAUAAGCGGAGGA
rnacentral:misc_RNA from 1 species